CAGGACGUCACAGAGGGUGAGAAUCCCGUGCCUGGCUGGCUGUCCCUUUCCAUGUGAAGUGCCUUCGACGAGUCGAGUUGUUUGGGAAUGCAGCUCAAAAUGGGUGGUAAAUUUCAUCUAAAGCUAAAUAUUGGCGGGAGACCGAUAGCGCACAAGUAGAGUGAUCGAAAGAUGAAAAGCACUUUGAAAAUAGAGUUAAAAAGUACGUGAAAUUGUUGAAAGGGAAGCGCUUGAGACCAGACUYGGCCGGAGAUGAUCAGCCGUCCUUCUGGGCGGUGCACUCGUUUCCGGCCGGGCCAGCAUCGGUUGAGACGGCGGGAUAAAGGCCCGGGGAAUGUGGCUCCUYUCGGGGAGUGUUAUAGCCCCGGGCGCAAUGCCGCCAGCCUCGACCGAGGACCGCGCUUMAUUGCUAGGAUGCUGGCGUAAUGGUCUUCAGCGACCCGUCUUGAAACACGGACCAAGGAGUCUAACAUCUAUGCGAGUGUUUGGGUGUCAAACCCUUGCGCGUAAUGAAAGUGAACGGAGGUGGGAACCCCUCGCGGGGCGCACCAUCGACCGGUCCUGAUGUCUUCGGAUGGAUCUGAGUAGGAGCAUAGCUGUUGGGACCCGAAAGAUGGUGAACUAUGCCUGAAUAGGGUGAAGCCAGAGGAAACUCUGGUGGAGGCUCGCAGCGGUUCUGACGUGCAAAUCGAUCGUCAAAUUUGGGUAUAGGGGCGAAAGAC
rnacentral:rRNA from 1 species